rnacentral:rRNA from 1 species
GUAGCUGKUYKRAGRGGMCGMCCAGCCMCCACUGGAAYUGAGACACGGUCCAGAYUCYUACGGGRRGCAGCAGUGGGGAAUUUUGGACAAUGGGCGCAAGCCUGAUCCCAGCAAUGCCGCGUGAGUGAAGAAGGCCUUCGGGUUGUAAAGCUCUUUUGUCAGGGAAGAAACGGGUGAGGUUAAUACCUUUGCCUAAUGACGGUACCUGAAGAAUAAGCACCGGCUAACUACGUGCCAGCAGCCGCGGUAAUACGUAGGGUGCAAGCGUUAAUCGGAAUUACUGGGCGUAAAGCGUGCGCAGGCGGUUAUACAAGACAGAUGUGAAAUCCCCGGGCUCAACCUGGGAAUUGCAUUUGUGACUGUAUGGCUAGAGUGUGUCAGAGGGGGGUAGAAUUCCACGUGUAGCAGUGAAAUGCGUAGAUAUGUGGAGGAAUACCGAUGGCGAAGGCAGCCCCCUGGGAUAACACUGACGCUCAUGCACGAAAGCGUGGGGAGCAAACAGGAUUAGAUACCCUGGUAGUCCACGCCCUAAACGAUGUCUACUAGUUGUCGGGUCUUAAUUGACUUGGUAACGCAGCUAACGCGUGAAGUAGACCGCCUGGGGGAGUACGGUCGCAAGAUUAAAACUCAAAGGAAUUGACGGGGACCCGCACAAGCGGUGGAUGAWGGUGGAUUAAUUCGAUGCAACGCGAAAAACCUUACCUACCCUUGACAUGUACGGAAUCCUGAAGAGAAUUUAGGAGUGCUCGAAAGAGAACCGUAACACAGGUGCUGCAUGGSUGUCGUCAGCUCSUGUCGUGAGAWGGUUGGGGUUAAGUCCCSCMACSAAGCGCMACCCCUUGUCAUUARUUUGCUACSAAARGG